GGCCCGCCUCGCCCUCCCCGUCCACAGUGGAGGAGCUGAGACUUUCUCUGAAACUCAGCCAGAGCCUUUUCCUCCAACAACAAGGGCAGGGAGGAGGGAGGAAGGUUGUUGGGCUUUGGAGAGGGAUCCUGGGAUCUGUAGUUCGGAGGAUGGUUCAGCUUAUGUCUGCUUUACGGGCAGCCUGGCUAAGGGGAACUACAGGGGUGGAUGCAUAGCUGCAAAAGGAGGUGAAGUUGGAGGAGGCCCUAGAGAGGAACCAGAGAGGGAGGCUCUCCUCAGGUAUGAAGCGGAAAUUUACAGAUAAAGCAAUGAAGAAGAAGCAGCAAGUUUGCUAGCCAGUCUUGUAGAAACUCCCUCCAGACUGUACAGUCAUUAACAUAUGCAGAAAUAAAUCAGCAAGAUGUCCCCCCACCCCCCUCCAAAGACAAUAGCUUUGCACCUGUUGAAGACGAAUGAAAUUGGGCAGAUUUUUCUUUUUCUCUCACUGUAAGCAUUUUAUAAGUCAGGCACAGUGGAAAUGAUCCAAACCAAACUGAAAUGUGUGUUGUAUUCCUUGACUUGGUCAUGUAACUGGUUGAAAUUAAAAGUAUUAUAGGGACAACCUUAUGUUCUGCUGGCAGUGCAAUGCACAGUCAUGUAAGAUCAGUAUUUAGGGCCAGAUCCACCAAAGGAUUUAGGUGCCUACAGCUCAGAUUUAGGCACCUAAGUCCCUGUUGUGGGCCUCACUGUGAUCCACAAAACCCCUGCUCGGUUGCUGCCUAACCCUGUAGGUGCCUAAAUUCACUUGGUGCCUACAUUUUUGCUGUAAAAGUUCCCUAGGUACCUAAGUUUCCGCUACUGAGCAUGCACAAUGCUGCCUUUCUCUUGGCAUCCAUAUGCCUGUCUCACACCGAAGCUCCAGUGCAAUCCUCAAACCAGGAAAAGAUAGGCAUUCCUCUGCCAGGUGUGCUCUGAGCGUGCCUCACUCCACACAAAAUGGCCAGGAGACAGGAGUCCUCCCAUUAGCCCACUGUUUAAGGUAUUCACUCAGGAGGCGGGAGACCUUGGUUGAGUUUCCUUCUCUGUCUUAUAAGAAGGCAUUUGAACAGGGGUUCCUCACCGCUCAAGGGAGUGUCCUAACCACUGGGCUAUGGGACAUUCUGAUGUGGGACUUUCUCCAUCUUGAAGCCGCUCCACGUUAGUUAAAUCAUUCAGUAUUAAUUGGGCCAGAGAAAGAAUGAGACUCACUCUAUAGUCCAACAGUUAGGGUGAACCCCUGUUCAAAUCCUUUCUUCUGAUCAACCAAGGGGAGGGAGGCAAAUUGAAUCAGGAUCUCCCACAUUCCAGAUGAGGGCCCUAACUAGUGGCACAAAAGCUGUAAGGGAAUCCUUCUCACACUCCACCCUCAGCCAUUUUGUUUGGUGCAAGGAUGCACUGCUCCCUAGAGACACCAGCUGGCAGGUAAAUAGAGCUCCAGAGAAAGCCAUGUCCAGCUCUCCUUCAUCAAACAGAAGGUUACUGCAACAUGGGGCACUGGAUGAGAAGUAAAAAGGCCAAGAGUUAGCAAAUAUGAAAACAAACAGCUUGAGGUUUUUCUAUUUCAGUAUGAAAAUCAUGUGCAUGUCAGAGAAGAUUGGUCACAGAACCUUUUAAUAUAAUAGAGCAAUUUGGAUAAUUGAGUUUAUAAUGUAAUUAUACUCAUAUGCUUUGCCAACUAGAAUUUUUGUUGCUAUUUUCCCCCCCACCUUAUACACCUCCAUGCUUAAGCAAUGCUUUGUAACUGAUAUUUUGAAAAUAAAAUAAGGAAUUGAAAAA